UACGUUGGGGGCAAGCGUUGUCCGGAAUUAUUGGGCGUAAAGAGCGCGUAGGCGGCCAACUAAGUCGGAUGUGAAAUCCCCAAGCUUAACUUGGGAACUGCAUCCGAUACUGGAUGGCUUGAAUCCGGGAGAGGGAUGCAGAAUUCCAGGUGUAGCGGUGAAAUGCGUAGAUAUCUGGAGGAAUACCGGUGGCGAAGGCGGCAUCCUGGACCGGCAUUGACGCUGAGGAGCGAAAGCUAGGGGAGCAAACGGG
rnacentral:rRNA from 1 species